GAGCGUCAUUUAAACCUUCAAGCUCUGCUUGGUGUUGGGUGUUUGUUCUGCCCCUGCGCAUGGACUCGCCUUAAAUUUAUUGGCAGCCGGUAUAUGGGCUUUGUACGCAGCACAUUGCGCAACGGAGCCCCUAUAACUCCUUCCAUAAGCCUCUUUUUUACUUUGACCUCGGAUCAGGUAGGGAUACCCGCUGAACUUAA
rnacentral:misc_RNA from 1 species